GAAGCGCUAAGCCACAAGGGCUAUACAGCGCCAGGGGUUAUCUUAAGUAAUUUACAUUAUAUGAUAAAUGUAUUUGUGCUUAAAUAAAGUUUCUGAAACAUGUUCGACGUGUCCACUCGUAACGGGAAUCGAACCGAAAUGCCCCGGCAUGAUAGUGACUUUCUUUGUACUUAGCAAACCAAAGUUGUAAUUACACAUUGUAACCUUUACAAAGAAAUAUAAUCUUUAUUCUUUUAUUCAUUAUUCACUCUCAGAGUGUGAGGUGAGGUGACGUUACCAACUGAACCACGAGAAGUGCUUCAGAUAUGAUCAGACUUAAAGACAUGACUGAUAACCAUGGCUGUGUAAUCACAAGAUAAUUAUUACAGAGGGCACCACAGUAGACUUGGUCCACAUGUGACAACACAACACAUCCCUAUAGCCAUUGUCUAGGUGUGUCCAGGGACUAUGGCCAAUCGCUUCUUUGAGGGUGCAGCUCAUGCCGCUGCUUAUGCUAAGUUUAGACCCCAGACUCCUGCUUCUGUUGUUGAUCGAAUCUGUUCCUUCCUCAAAGAAAAGUAUGAAGGAUCUCUGAGAGCUGCUGCUGAUGUUGGCUGUGGUUCGGGUCAGAGUACACAGAUCUUGAGUCCUCACUUUACCUCUGUUACGGGUCUUGAUGUUUCUCCAGCUCAGACUUCUGAGGCCAUUAAACUAAAUACAAAACCAAAUGUCUCCUUUGUAACCAGUAGUGCAGAGAAGCUACCGUUCUCUAACAAUAGCCUGCAGUUGAUCACUGCAGGCCAGGCUUGUCACUGGUUUGAUCUGCCAGUGUUCUACAAGGAAGUAGAUAGAGUUCUUGUACCUGGGGGUGUCCUUGCGCUUUAUGGAUAUUUGUUCCCACAGCCCAUCCAUGGAGAUCUCACUGAAAAGUUGUAUCAGAUUGUUAACCAUAUGUAUAUAAGUGAACUGAAUGGCUAUAUUCACCAAGGGAGUAAAGAGGUGUAUCUAGAGCAGUAUGGGGCAGACAAGUACAAGUUAAUCUAUGAUGACGUCUUGGAAAUCAGGUGUAUGAGAGGGAGACUGGAGGCUAUUGGGGAAGUGGUCGUAAAGAUGUUGAUGCUUCAUAUAGUGACCAAAAGUUUGUCAUACCUUACCCAAGUUUUACAAGGGAUGAUACUCACUUUGUGGAUAAAACUACAACGGUUGCUGAGCUAACAGGAUACAUCUCUAGCUGGUCAGGAUUCCAGAACUUUGAGUCAAAAUGUGGCAGUGCUGCUGCUCAGAAUAUUCUUGAAGAUUUUCAGAACAGAAUUAUGUCUACUCUUAAUGUGGCAACAAGUCCAGAGGAUACCGAAAUCUGUCUUCGUUUCAAGUACUUCCUUCUUAUGGGACGAAAACCUCUUGGCCCAUAAUAGUUUCUCAUUUGAAGCUUUAGUGGAAUGCCAUUUAACCCGUAAACAGUCUGAAUGUAUAUAUAUAUUACCUACCGUAGUGCCCCAACUUUUUUUGAGAAAAAAAAAAUCUUUUGUUUUUUAAUAGGAAAAAAGAGCAUAUGGUACCCAGGCAUCCCCGAUUAUUUUAAUAUGGCGCACAGUGAGUGCGCACACCCAUUCUCUCAUGUCUAGGCGACUCAGGCUUAUCGUGGCACUGAUAAAUGUAUGACCAAUGAAACGUAUAUAUACGUUUGGGGCACUAGCGGUAAAAACGUAUGUAUAAGUUUGGACCGUUUAUGGGUUAAUGGCCAUUGAGUCAGCAAGGAAGAUGAAGGGAUGGAACUAUUAUUAUUCAGUAGUCAGCUUCAAACAUAUUAUGUAAAUAUUCAUUAAGUUUUGUGUCAGAUAGUGUUAAAUUAUACUUAAUUUUUACAAAUAUUCAUUUACAGUCACUGUAUUUAUUAUUUGUUACACAUUCAAUUAAAUUACUGUGACUAUUUAUUCUAGAAAUAGCAGUAUUUGUCAGUGAUAUAUACAAUAUUCCUAGAACAUGUGCCAAUCUAUCUUUAACUUUAUUAAGAGUUGAAAAACACCACAAUUAGAUAGGACACAUUACAGUAAUAGUAACUUUUUUAUUUGGCCAACUUAAUAUAGUACUAUAGGUAUUGUAACAAAUCUAUAACUCCCAGUAAUAUAAUUUAGAAAAUGUAGACUUUAAUGAUUAAACAAGAAUUUACAGCAUGCAGUCCAUCUUCAACUCAAGCAUUGUUAAACAUCAACAGUAGUCUGUUAACGUUGUCCACAUGUCAACUAAGUACGUUAUUCAUGGAGUGGUUUCAUGACAUACCUCAUGGCCAAUACUUAUACCUUGGAUGAGUUAUAGGUAUGUCCAACUGCCAACUGUAAGUAAAAUAAAUUUGUUUUUGUGUGACCAGUUAUCUGGUUUCCAUGUGUGAGAUCAGUCAUCUGAUUCCUAGGUCUUUGACCAUUCCUAAUUCUUUGAAGUUACACACACUACCCUACCCUUAAACUACCCUCCCCUUCCUUGAAUCAAACCUUACUACCCAUUUCCCAGGUGCUGUAUGACCCCUAGGACUUAGCAAUUCCCAUGAUUAUAAUCAUGGGAAGUGCUAAGCCCACGUGGAUUAUUAAGCACUGUACAGGAAGAGUGAGGAAUGGUAGGUGGAGUCACAGAGAAGGAAAUUAGUGUUGGUUAAGAAAUCAGGGAAUCUGGACAAGUAGAGCAGUGUGUAACUUACCAUGAUGAUAGUCAUGGGAAGUGCUAAACCGUAGGGGUCAUACAGCACCUGGGAAAUGGGUAGUAAGGUUUGAUUCAAGGAAGGGAAGGGUAGUUUAAAUUCCUUGGAUCAUAUGCCUUUCAAUGGCACAUAUUCCAAGGGUCCUUGAAUAUAAUAAUACUUUAUCUGCCAGUUUUUAAAUUUGUUUUUCAGUAGUGAAUCCUGACAAAUGUUUUCCAUGCAGUCAUUUUUUAUCAAAUCCCUGACAUUUAAUUUUGAAUAAUUUGAAGCUUGUUUUUCCAAAUUUGUUGUGUAAGCUAUAUGGUGUUGUAACAGUUAUGUGGCUUGUUACUUAUUGCUUCACUGGUUUAUGACUUAUAGUAAGCUCUCUUUAUUUAUUAUAGCAACAAAAAGCAUUAAUUUUAUGCUUUGCAGUCAGAGGUAAAAGUAAUACAAAAACAUUCAAAAGAACAUUUAUUUACAAAGUAUUGAAAAAUAUAUUUACAAAAUGCAAAGUAUAUUAGAUACAUUUUAUCAGUUGUUAGUGUCCCUACCAAGAAGUUUUGGACGUUCUUGACACGUGUAUUUCCACAACUCUUGCAUUAUAAUACUCUUAUAUACAGUAUUAAUACUUAUAAAUUAAUAUUUUUUAGA